AAGUCGUAACAAGGUUUCCGUAGGUGAACCUGCGGAAGGAUCAUUAUCGAAUAAAUCUGGCGUGGUUGUCGCUGGCUCCUAGGAGCAUGUGCACGCCCGUCACUUUUAUCUUUCCACCUGUGCACUCACUGUAGACCUGGAUAACUCUCGUUUGGUCUCCCAAGCGGAUGCGAGGAUUGCUGUGCCCUUUCAUAGGGUCAGCUUUCCUUGAAUUUCCAGGUUUAUGUCCUCUUUUACAUACCCCAAUGAAUGUUGCAGAAUGUAGUCAAUGGGCUUUCAAUGCCUAUAAAACUUUAUACAACUUUCAGCAACGGAUCUCUUGGCUCUC
rnacentral:misc_RNA from 1 species